GCUUAACACAUGCAAGUCGAACGGUAACAUUUCUAGCUUGCUAGAAGAUGACGAGUGGCGGACGGGUGAGUAAUGCUUGGGAACUUGCCUUUGCGAGGGGGAUAACAGUUGGAAACGACUGCUAAUACCGCAUAAUGUCUUCGGACCAAACGGGGCUUCGGCUCCGGCGCAAAGAGAGGCCCAAGUGAGAUUAGCUAGUUGGUAAGGUAACGGCUUACCAAGGCGACGAUCUCUAGCUGUUCUGAGAGGAAGAUCAGCCACACUGGGACUGAGACACGGCCCAGACUCCUACGGGAGGCAGCAGUGGGGAAUAUUGCACAAUGGGGGAAACCCUGAUGCAGCCAUGCCGCGUGUGUGAAGAAGGCCUUCGGGUUGUAAAGCACUUUCAGUUGUGAGGAAAAGUUAGUAGCUAAUACCUGCUAGCCGUGACGUUAACAACAGAAGAAGCACCGGCUAACUCCGUGCCAGCAGCCGCGGUAAUA
rnacentral:rRNA from 1 species